GACGGAGGGGGCUAGCGUUGUUCGGAAUGACUGGGCGUAAAGGGUGCGUAGGCGGUUUUUUAAGUGAGGCGUGAAAGCCCUGGGCUUAACCCAGGAGGUGCGUUUCAGACUGGAAGACUUGAGUGCGAGAGAGGAAAGUGGAAUUCCUAGUGUAGAGGUGAAAUUCGUAGAUAUUAGGAAGAACACCCGUGGCGAAGGCGGCUUUCUGGCUCGCUACUGACGCUGAGGCACGAAAGCGUGGGGAGCAAACAGG
rnacentral:rRNA from 1 species